CUUUGCUGUUAAUGUCGUAUCCAUAACCUCUUUUCCAGAACUCCAGCAGGUCACUUGCAUACUCCAUAAUCUGUUGGUGCACCAGAAGCAAAUAACAGUUAGUCCAAGAGUUACAUACAGUUGUGCCUCAGGAGAGGAAUAACAAAACCCAUGA